CCAGUCAGUCGCUGGUGGUGGUGGUGGCUACUUCCCUUCAGGAAGCCCGGUCUCCGCCCCCUCCUCCCACCCCGUCUGCUCCGCGGCGGAGGCGGCGGUGGCGGCAGCGGUUGUCCCUGCCUCUCCGCCACCUCCACCUCAGCCUAUCCCCCGACCGGUGGCGUUGGCGGGGAGGGGGGCCGUAGUUGUAGACGGCCGCCCCUGCCUCAGAGAAGAUACGACGUCGAAUGAACAAAGAUUGAACUUUUUACAGAUACCUUUUGGAAAAGGCUUGUAAGGAGUAGUGCCAUAGUUUGAAUCACAGUGGAUUCCACGUUAUGAGGUGAAUGGGAGAGGAGUAUUGAACAAAAAUAGAUUUUUAAAUCUCUGCAUCAUGGUUUUUAGCUCCUCAGUGGUUGCACAGUCUCUCUAUUUGGGGAAAGUUCAUGCUAAAAAACUGAAGCAAUUAAUGGGUGAAUAUGAUCAAAUUUCUCCACCAAGUUCUCAACCUGACAAGGGUAAGGUUUCAUUCACCUCUUCAUCGAUCUCUGCACCAUAAUUUAUGACUCUUUUCAACGUGAACUUCAGGAUUACAUUAGAAAGCAGAGAGCCAGAGGAUUACAGCCAGAGGUUUGCUUCAGAAAGGUGACAAAAGACUCU
rnacentral:lncRNA from 1 species